GCGAUUCGUAUGCUUGUAGGUGCGCUUCCUUGCCAAGGAAGAGGUCGAGAGUUAGAGUCUCUUAGCUCGCA
rnacentral:tRNA from 1 species